rnacentral:lncRNA from 1 species
CUCCUGUGUAAUGACUAAGCCUAACCAAGUUUAAAAUUUUUUAGGCAAAUGAACAUGACGGAUCAUCUUUCCUGCCUUGAUUGUUUUUGACCAACGUCUGAAGUGAUAAAAGCUGAAAUGUGAAGGUUGGAGAGGAAUUAAUUCAUCCCAGAAGGAAAUGGAGAAACUUCCAGGUUAAAUCAGUGGUACACGUGGUCUUCACUGUCUGCUUCACCUAUGGGAUGGAUGACAUUGGUUUUGGAAGGCUGUUCUUGGAACCUCACAUCGCGGGAUGCUGUUUCUAUGGGAAAGUUGACUUUAACAAACAACUUAUAACUCUUGAAGCCAAAUGCAUUCUUCUCAUUAGGGACUGCCUUUAUAUAAAGAAGUUCUUGUGUGCAGCUCCCUUUAUGAGGACUUGUUCUUCUCAUCCACAGAAGCCCUUUUCAAACAGUACUGAGAAGACUGAUAAGAAGGAAAAGCAUUCACUGAAGGGUUCUCAGAAAGAAAGCAUUCGAUUUAACUACAGGCCAGUGCUGCUCUGAUUAGCACGGGCCCAGCUGACAGCAAGGUUGCCAGGCAGCACUUGUUCUGCCAAGAGUGGUGGUGGAAUGAAGCAACCAUGUGGUUUGUGUUACCAUUUUUUAGCUUUUUCAGGUUUCGAGAGGAGAACGUCACCGGCAAUGAUAAUUCAGUUUGGAAUGAAUGCAUUUUCAGGGCAGAGUUCGGCAACUGCUGACUUGUUUGAAAUCCGAACGUCCAUAGUUACAUUUUAUAAUGUGGACAGGAUAAUCCACAGGAUAUGUCAAGAUCCUACUACAUGCAAAUAAUGAAGUUUCUGGCCAAAUCCUCUUUUAGAAAAGAGAGGGAAAAAAAAAAAUCUCUCCAGCAUCUCUAAGCUGCUACUUAGAGCCUUUAUAAAGAUAGCACAGGAAAAAGAAACCAAAGUCAAACAAUAAGCUAAAUUCUGCCUUCCACUUACACCAUCUUCUAAAGUCAGUGUUGAUUUUGUUUAUAUGCCUCAAGUUAAAGCUUGUCACAAAGUAAUCAAUUUGUGUAAUUUUAUGUUAAACCAUAAAAUACAAAUGUUUUUA